rnacentral:rRNA from 1 species
UACGUAGGGGGCGAGCGUUGUCCGGAAUUAUUGGGCGUAAAGGGUUCGCAGGCGGUCUGAUAAGUCAGAUGUGAAAGGCUAUGGCUUAACCAUAGUAAGCAUUUGAAACUGUCAGACUUGAGUUAAGGAGAGGAAAGUGGAAUUCCUAGUGUAGCGGUGAAAUGCGUAGAUAUUAGGAGGAAUACCAGUGGCGAAGGCGACUUUCUGGACUUAAACUGACGCUGAGGAACGAAAGCGUGGGGAGCAAACAGG